GGUCGGCCGGCGGGGUGGUGCGCCGCGGCGGCGCGGGGCUGUCGGGCGGCGCGGGGGCGUUCGAGGCGCCGUCGGCCG
rnacentral:tRNA from 1 species